rnacentral:misc_RNA from 1 species
GGGGUUCGUGGUCCAACACCGCCCAAAAAAUUCAACUCUGCCAACUGCCGUGGUUGUCCAAGAAACCAGGAGAAAAAUGAAGGUAUAAUGGAAGAGAUAACGAGAGACUAAUUGGAGUGGCACAUAUUCUUCCCUUUCAAAGACCACCAAACUCAGCAAUAUCUUCCUCUUUGGCUAAAGAUCUGAAUGUUUUCCGCAUGAACUCGGGCGCGGGCAAAGUAAUGUUUCUUCUUUGAGCCUCUAAACCGAACAGAUUCAAAGGUUGAAUCUUUAUCUCUUUCCUGUCCUGUCUGUGGAUGGGUGAAGAGGGAAUGCCAAGUGAUGUGAAAAACACAGCUAAAACAAGUCCAAAACUCACAGUAUUGCCUCUUGUUGCUUUGAUAUUCUAUGAUGUAUCUGGGGGUCCUUUUGGUGUGGAGGAUUCAGUGAGGGCAGGAGGUGGCCCUUUGUUGUCUUUGCUUGGUUUCUUGAUAUUCCCUUUAAUUUGGAGUGUUCCUGAGGCUCUAGUCACAGCAGAGUUAGCCACAAGCUUCCCUGAAAAUGGUGGAUAUGUUAUUUGGAUAUCUUCAGCUUUUGGUCACUUCUGGGGUUUCCAAGAAGGGUUUUGGAAAUGGUUUAGUGGGGUCAUGGAUAAUGCCCUUUACCCUGUGUUGUUUCUUGAUUACUUGAAGCAUUCACUUCCCAUUUUUAACCAAUUAAUUUAUCGAAUUCCAGCACUUUUAUGUAUCACAGUAGGUUUGACAUACUUGAACUAUAGAGGACUACACAUUGUUGGAUUUUCAGCUGUUUCCCUUGCUGUUUUCUCACUAUGUCCAUUUGCUGUAAUGGGUAUUCUUUCAAUUCCUCGAAUUAGGCCUAAACGAUGGGUGGCUGUAGAUUUUAGGAAGGUAGAAUGGAGGGGAUACUUCAAUAGCAUGUUUUGGAAUCUAAAUUAUUGGGAUAAGGCUAGCACUCUUGCAGGGGAGGUUGAAAAUCCCAGCAAGACAUUCCCAAAGGCGCUAUUCGGGGCUGUGUUUUUGGUGGUUUCUUCAUAUUUGAUUCCACUUCUUGCUGGCACUGGAGCUUUGAAGAACUCGUCAAGUGAAUGGACUGAUGGAUUCUUUGCAGAAGUUGGGAUGUUGAUUGGAGGAGCUUGGCUUAAAUGGUGGAUCCAAGCAGCUUCUGCUAUGUCAAACUUAGGUUUGUUUGAAGCAGAAAUGAGUGGAGAUGCCUUCCAGCUUCUUGGCAUGAGCGAGAUGGGAAUGCUCCCAGCUAUUUUUGCUUCAAGGUCAAUCAUUAUUUUCUUGGCUUUGGUUCUUACUACUUUAUGCUUAUCUUCAUUGCUGCUUUACUUCAUGAAAGAAAAUUAAUGCAUUUUGAAGCAACUCAAGAAAAUUAGCCCCCCAUGGCCCAUUUAAUUUACUUCAGGAAAUGGUUAACAGUAUGGUGCGAUGGUGUUAAGAUCCUGCAAGUGUUUCAUCUUUCGAUAUUUGAAUCACAUAUUUGUUAUAUCAUUGGCCAGUUAGCACAUCAUUAGUGUUCCUUAGAUCUGAUUUUGUGAUCAAAUUGACUGAAAUUGCUUGAAUUGUUGAUUACCUGAUAUUAAAAACUUGCUUUUUCUGCCUUUUAUUAUUUUAUUUUACAAUAGGUAAACACCAAAGAAAAAGAUUAAAUUAAUAAACAAAGCUAUAGAAAACAGAAAAUCAAACAUAUCAAUGUCAUAUAAAUCUUCCUCUAUGUUUAUGCUUCUGAAGUCUAACAAUUGAAUUAAAUUUGUUUGGAAGGAAAAACAAUUGCAUUUCUUUUAAUGCCUUUUUGCAGAUCAAAAUAUGGGACACCCACUGUUAGCAUACUGUGCUCUGCUACUGGAGUGAUCUUCUUGUCAUGGAUGAGUUUCCAGGAAAUCCUGGAAUUUCUGAACUUCUUAUAUGCCAUAGGGAUGCUUCUUGAGUUUGCAGCUUUUAUAAAACUGAGACUAAAAAAGCCAGAACUUCACAGGCCUUAUAAAGUUCCACUGGGAACAUUUGGUGCAACAAUGCUUUGUCUGCCUCCUGCAGCAUUGCUUGUUCUUGUUAUGUGCUUAGCUUCUUUGAGGACUUUCUUAAUUAGUGGUGCAGUUAUUGUUCUGGGGUUCAUCUUAUACCCUACUUUAAUUUAUGCCAAGGAC